CUGACCAGCUGCGUGACGGGGAACAAGGAUGGAUUUAGCCGGAAAGGCAAGAGCGUCCGCAGGAAGAGCGCCCCCUGCUGUUACGGUCAGACAGGACACGACUCAUCCUGGUUAAGGACUUACCAGGCAGAACUGCACAGGGAAAGGAAAUUGAGGCAAGUCAAGUUUGCGCAGAAGAACGCAGAAAGAGCCGCAAUGAGGACACAUCAUAGAGUCCACACCGCCUCACAAAGACACCGGUUCAGAGGGCAAACCUAAAAAGCAAGACCGCCAACAAAAAUGACAACUCUCUUUUUGGCGCCUUCCAAGGGCUCAGUCUGAGCAUGAGUGGAGCACAAACCUCCGUAACAUCAUCAAGUGCAGAUCCAUGUAAAGUCAUGUG